rnacentral:rRNA from 1 species
GACAGAGGGUGCAAACGUUGUUCGGAAUUACUGGGCGUAAAGCGAGUGUAGGCGGUCCGGUAAGUCGGGUGUGAAAGCCCUGGGCUCAACCCAGGAAGUGCACUCGAAACUGCCGGGCUAGAGUAUCGGAGAGGUUGGUGGAAUUCUCGGUGUAGAGGUGAGAUUCGUAGAUAUCGAGAGGAACACCGGUGGCGAAGGCGGCCAACUGGACGAUUACUGACGCUGAGACUCGAAAGCGUGGGGAG